ensembl:lncRNA
UGGCUUACCACUCGGGAUUGUGUUCUGGUUCUGUUUCUCCACUUGGGAUUGUGUUCUGGCUUACCACUCAGGAUUGUGAUUGUGUUCUGGUUCUCCACUCAGGAUUGUGUUCUGGUUCUCCACUCAGGAUUGUGUUCUGGUUCUGGUUCUCCACUCAGGAUUGUGUUCUGGUUCUCCACUCAGGAUUGUGUUCUGGUUCUCUUCUGAGGAAUGUGUUCUGGUUCUGGUUCUCCACUCAGGAUUGUGUUCUGGUUCUCCACUCAGGAUUGUGUUCUGGUUCUCCACUCGGGAUUGUGUUCUGGUUCUCUUCUGAGGAAUGUGUUCUGGUUCUGGUUCUCCACUCAGGAUUGUGUUCUGGUUCUCCACUCAGGAUUGUGUUCUGGUUCUC